UGCUAACGUUAACCUGAGCACUAAGCUUCAAGCUGCUGACGAACUCCGUCAAGACAUGCAGGUAACCUUUUUUUUUUUUGUAAAUGUGAUCUACUGGAAACAAACGUUAAAGAGGGGACACACUUGUCUUAUUAUCAGCAUCAAUGUCCACAUGAAGAACCUAGUUAUGUUGCCAGUGUCAACCCAACAAAAGGCACUUUCACAAUAUAUAAAAGAAGUGUAUGGAACUGAGGUGCUUCGUCAGGAGCUGCUUCAGUUGUUGGAGGAUGGAGAAGAGGACGCAGCCAUGACUUGUGAGACGGCGUCUGAGUCAGCUGCUACUCACUAGGAGAUCAGAAACAUGGUGUCCUUGCAAAAGUGGAAAGAGGCCAGGCCUUGUCUUAUAGACAAUAUGUUAGUUACUCUGGAUCCACUGUCACACCGUGUGUGUCAGUGUGGCAAACAAGUAGUUGUGAGGUGUCUGGACUGCCUUCCUCUUCCAUUCCUUUGUGCUGAGUGUGAUAUUGCAGUUCACACACGCUUUGUCCUGCACAACC